AAUAGGUGACAAGAACAUGUACAGAAGUAUAACAAUUUAAAAGUUAUAUACUAUGGAUUCAUAGGAUGUACAUAUACAGUAACAUCAAAUAUUAACUGCCAGGAAUACUUAACACUUGUUAUUUUCUAUAAAGCUUCACUCUUUGCAGAAAGCAUGGGAUUUCCAAGUGAAGAUUUAACUACACAGAAUUGUGUUUCAACAUAUGUAAAGUGGCUUAAUCAAAACUGCCAGCCAAACUUCUGGAAGGGCGGAAAAGCAGCUGAAACAUGGAAAAUAAGUUAAGGACAACAAAAGUAAAAUUGUCUCAAGCUAUGACUGUAGUGGAAAGCAGGACAAUUAAUAUUCACCAGAAUGAAGAGGAAAUUGCUCCAAGAAAAAAAAACUAACUGAAAUAUCACAGAGAAUUAACCAUUUCUUCUGAAACUCUAUGGAUAUGUUUUCUCUAAAAAUAUUCUAAUGUUCAUCCCUCUCAACAAACUUCAGAAAAAUCUUCUUGAAAGAUUGGACCUAAUUAUUCUUUCCAGAUACAGAAAAGCCACUAUUCUCUGUGUUCUUGGACACUCCGCUGAUGGCCAAGGACGAACACUUUUUUUCUUGCAGUACAUCACAAACAUAAUUUGUUGCAGAAUCACACACACACAGAUAUGUUUUGACUAUAGUCCUAAGAAUGUACAAGUCAGCUGUCAUCAAUAUCUUAUGUCUAUUGUUCCACUCAGUUUCCAUCUGUUACUGGCUGAGUAGCAAGGAAAUUGUUUGCUGGUGUAUCAUGCCACAUGGAAUUUUGUGAGAGCUCUUUCUCUCCCCCCCCCAUUAGGUUCCUCUCUAUAUUUGAAAAAUGUUGGAAUAUUUUCCUUUCUAGUGGUCCUUAGUUCUGCUUCCUGCUCUGUACUCUGGCCUACAGGCUAUUAUCAAUGUGCAUCUGUAAUUAUGUUUGUUGUGUGCUCUGACUUUGUCUUCUUAGAAAAGACAAUUCCUUUGAGAUGUUAUUGAAGGUUUUCCUGUAGCUUGGAUAUGUAAUCAUAGCCAGAUCAAAACCCAUAGCUAAACAUUACUGUUUUAAUAUAUAAAUAAGAAGGCAAAGUACUGUGUCUCUGCUAGCAAAACUUUAGGUAUGUUAAGACAAUCUAUCUGAGUUGUAAUCUCCAGAGCAACAGGAGAUGGCAACUAAUAGUUUUCUGCAUUUCUUUGCUACCAUCAGGUGUUAUUUGGAAUUAUUCCGCUAAAAUAUGUUUACUCUAUAUUAAUUCACCACUGCAGCAUUUUCCAGAUUUUCUGGAUAACUCCUGAAAGAUUGAAAAAAAAUAGAGUUAAGUAUAAAAUCUA